rnacentral:lncRNA from 1 species
AGUGUCGCUCUUGGCUCCGCCCUCGGCAUUUCAUUGCUUCCCCUGUCCUUCCUUUAGCUGUAACUCCGGCGGGCGUGUUGGGUGUGUCGUUUUAGGCUCUGUGACCCAGGAGCAAGACGCAAUAAGCGGGUGCAGUGGAGGUAGAAACGGGAAAUGCAGUACCCUUUCCGGAAGCUACUCCGCCCCUCGACAGAGUCUUGCUGUGUCGCCCAAGCUAGAGUGCAGUGGUGUCAUCUGGGCUCAUUGCAACCUCCGCUUCCUGGAUUCAAGCAAUUCUCAUGCCACAGCCUCCCAAGUAGCUGGGACUACAGGAACCUGUGGUGAUAAGGAAGAUGUGAGCCUGGAGAUACAGAAGCUACCACAUGAAUGUUAAAAAUGAAGCUGACGCAGCAAAAGGCAGUGCCAAGGAACUAAAAGAAAACAAAUUUUGAUUACAUUUUUGGAGUUCCUGGGUCAAGCAGUUCAUGACACUGAGGCUUUUCCGCUACAUGAAUAAGUACUUUUUCUUUCCCGUUAAAGUGGGUUUGUGCUGGCUUCUCUAUCACUCACAACAACUGGAUACUAACUGAGGCAACACUUCCUACCUCUUACACACAUUACACCCAUAAAACAGAAACAACAUCUAAAAUUAGAUUUCAACACAGCUACCAAGCAGAAAAGUUCAAAUCAACAAGUUAUGGAUAAUGUUUUAUUGAAACUACAUUUCUCCUCCCAAUGUGAGUAUGGUGUUGGCCAACAUGUUGCGUGUUGAUUCUGCUUGCCUUUGUGUCCUACAUAUAGGAUGUGUACUGUGUAAUGAAUCGUUUCUUCAUUAUUUUUCUCAGCUUGCAUGGUUGCCUCCCUCACCUCCAUUCACAGAGCUCACUGUGACAGCAUUCAACCUUGUCUUGGUACAAGUGUGUAAUUUACAUAAUAGUCGCCUCUGUACUUUCCUCAGUAACUUAAACAAAGAAGACCAUCACUCACUGUGCUUGCCUUUCAAAUUAGAUUUGAUAUCAAAUUAAAGUCUCAUUUUAUUAAGUUUCUGAAGCCAAAGUCUUUGACCUAUGAAAGUAUGUUUCAAUUAUGAAUGGAAAAGAGAAGCUUUGUGUUAUUAACAGGAAAAGAAUUCAAGUGUGAUGGUUGUGUCAAUGCCAUUGGGACAUGCCAGUAGUCAGUAACUCAACAGACAAGCCUGCUAGACCUGCUUUACUCAUUUGUGGCGCUGUUUCUUCACUUUCUACUGACUCCCACCUGUGUUUCAUAAUUCUCUACAUUGAUAUGGUUUAUUACUUCUCAUAGGGAUCUUAAAUUAAUUGUGCAACUCGUUAGAGUCUCUUUAUGUAAAAUACAUAGUCUUCAUACUAUUAGAAUGUUACAAUCUGGACCUACCAAUGUGAACAAGUGAAAAAAUGUGCUGUUUAUUUUAACCAGCAGUGGUGUUUUAGUUAGCUAUUUAUCUCCUUAUCUCCCAAAUCUCAAAAACACUCAGUAGUUUACAACAUGAAGCUUUUUUUUUUUUUUUUUUGCUUACAGGUCUGUGGGUCAGCUGGGAUAACUCUGCUUCAGACUGUGGGUCAUCUUGGCUUGGCAGACUUUAGGUUAAACAUAAGACUGUGUGUCUCAUUCUGGGGCCCAGACUGAAGGGAUAGCAGCUAGCUGGUGCAUGCUGUCUUCGUGGCAAUCACAGGGGUGCGAGAGGCGGAGCUGAAGGACGCAAGCACAUUUAAGUCUUUUGCGUGUGUCAUGUUCAAUGACAUUCCAUGUCCAGAGCCAGCUACAUGGGUGGAUCAUGAAUAGAGGGGAGAAAUACACCCCACCCACUUCAGUGAGCUUUAGGUUUACAUGACUGAGGGAUGGAGGGAAGAAUUUUGGACAAUAAUCUCAUCUAGUACAUAUGGCUUCAAUUUGUAUGAACCCUAUCUCUACUCCUCCAACCUUCUGAUCUCAACUGCUAUUGCUAAUAUGACCUGUGGGAGCGAGAGGACUUUCUAUAACUAGGCUGAAUUUUAAAGGAAGAGAAUGACUUCCAGAUAGCUUAUUGGCUAUCAAUCUAGGAGCUCUUACAGCUGAGAAACAUUUUGACCCAACCCUCUGGCUUCUUUGUUGAUUUAUUUUUCUGAUAAAAUUCAUUUUUUUAAAUAUUAAGCUUUAAGAAGUACAUGUGUUUUAAUGCAGUAAAAAAUAAAGCAUAUAUGAUUCAAUCAUUUGUAAAUAUACAGUAUAACUAGUAAGAAAUAAGGGGUCUCAUUCACACCCAGAUUUAUAGGAGCCAGCACUAUGUGCUCGGUAUAUAAUAGAAGCUCAGUUAGUAUUUGUUGAUUGAAGUACCUUUUCUUAUUUACUAAUGAUUAUUAUUAACAGAUAAUAAUUUGGGCCUGAAAUAGACAUUUCCUUUUUUAAUAUAAUUAUAUAUAUGUGCAUAUAUAUAUCAUCAAUAUCCUCUGACUUUAUUAGUGACUGUUAACCACGUCGAAAAAAGUAAAGGUGUUUAUUAUGCAUGCAUAGAAAAAUGAUAUGUUUGUGUUCGCUCUUUUUAGGACCAAGAAAAAAUUAUUGGUUGCUGUUUUCUCAGUUUUGGUUUUUUUUAAAAUAAAUUUUACUGUGUGUA